AUUGAACGCUGGCGGCAGGCUUAACACAUGCAAGUCGAGCGAGCGGCGGACGGGUGAGUAAUGUCUGGGAAACUGCCUGAUGGAGGGGGAUAACUACUGGAAACGGUAGCUAAUACCGCAUACCAUCAGAUGUGCCCAGAUGGGUUUAUCUAGUAGGUGGGGUAAUGGGUCACCUAGGCGACGCUCCCUAGCUGGUCUGAGAGGAUGACCAGCCACACUGGAACUGAGACACGGUCCAGACUCCUACGGGAGGCAGCAGUGGGGAAGAUUGCACAAUGGGCGCGAGUCGGAUGCAGCCAUGCCGCGUGUGUGAAGAAGGCCUUCGGGUUGUAAAGCACUUUCGGCGAGGAGGCGUUACUCGCAGAAGAAGCAUCGGCUAACUCCGUGCCAGCAGCCGCGGUAAUAC
rnacentral:rRNA from 1 species